GAAAACAGCAGAAGCAGUUGAUAUCUUGAAGCUCAUGUCCUCAACUUUCUUGGUUGCACUUUGCCAGGCAAUAGAUUUAAGGCAUUUAGAAGAGAAUUUGAAGAGCACAGUUAAGAACACAGUGAGCCAGGUGGCUAAGAAAGUUCUAACCAUUGGAGUCAAUGGUGAGCUUCAUCCUUCAAGAUUCUGCGAGAAAGAUCUGCUCAGGGUAGUCGAUCGCGAGCAAGUGUUUGCAUACAUUGAUGAUCCUUGUAGUUCAACAUACCCACUAAUGCAGAAGAUGAGACAAGUCAUUGUGGAUCAUGCAUUAACCAACAAUGAUUAUAUAAACAACAUAGAUGCUUCAAUCUUCCUCAAGAUAGGUGCUUUCGAAGACGAAUUGAAGUCUGUCUUGCCAAUAGAAGUAGAAGCUGCAAGAAGUGCUUUUGAGAGUGGAAAUCCUGCAAUUCCAAACAGAAUCAAGGACUGCAGGUCUUAUCCACUGUACAAGUUUGUGAAAGAAGAUUUGGGAACUGAACUUCUAACAGGAGAGAAACUCAGGUCUCCUGGCGAGGAAUUUGAUAAGUUGUUUACAGCAAUUUGUGAAGGAAAGAUUAUUGAUCCUCUCCUUGAAUGUCUUAAGGAUUGGGAUGGCACGCCUCUGCCAAUUUGUUAGGAGAGAUUUUUCUUCUGCAAAUCUUGUUUUCUUUCUCUU
rnacentral:misc_RNA from 1 species